CCUACGGGCGGCAGCAGUGGGGGAUAUUGCACAAUGGGGGGAACCCUGAUGCAGCGACGCCGCGUGGGUGAAGGAGUGCUUCGGCAUGUAAAGCCCUAUCGGCAGGGAAGAAGCAAGACGGUACCUGACUAAGAAGCCCCGGCUAACUACGUGCCAGCAGCCGCGGUAAUACGUAGGGGGCGGGCGUUAUCCGGAUUCACUGGGUUGAAGGGGAGCGUAGACGGGCAUGCAAGCCAGGGGUGAAAGCCCGGGGCCCAACCCCGGGACUGCCCUUGGAACUGUGGGGCUAGAGUGCGGGAGGGGCAGGCGGAAUGCCUGGUGUAGCGGUGAAAUGCGUAGAUAUCAGGCGGAACACCGGUGGCGAAGGCGGCCUGCUGGACCGCGACUGACGUUGAGGCUCGAAAGCGUGGGGAGCGAACAGGAUUAGAUACCCGGGUAGUC
rnacentral:rRNA from 1 species